rnacentral:tRNA from 1 species
GGGCCGGUGGUCUAGCCCGGUUAUGACGUCGCCUUCACACGGCGAAGGUCUCGAGUUCGAAUCUCGACCGGCCCACCA